UGUUAGAAAUUUUAUCCAUUUCUACUAUUAAAAACUGACAUGGCCGAUAAAAUAACCAGAUAGUUACACUUCACGCUGAUGUGCAAGGACCAAUUUUUAAUAGUAGAAAUGGAUAGGAUUUUUAAUA
rfam:Gossypium raimondii Chr01_contig_11, whole genome shotgun sequence.